rnacentral:rRNA from 1 species
UACGUAGGGGGCAAGCGUUGUCCGGAAUCAUUGGGCGUAAAGAGCGCGUAGGCGGCCCUGUAAGUCCGCUGUGAAAGUCAAGGGCUCAACCCUUGAAUGCCGGUGGAUACUGCAGGGCUAGAGUCCGGAAGAGGCGAGUGGAAUUCCUGGUGUAGCGGUGGAAUGCGUAGAGAUCCGGAAGAACACCGGAGGCGAAGGCGGCUUGCUGGGCUUGGUCUGACGCUGAGGCGCGAAAGCGUGGGGAGCGAACAGG